GACGAACGCUGGCGGCGUGCUUAACACAUGCAAGUCGAACGGGCCCGCCCCUGUUUUUGGGGGUGGGUUGAGUGGCGAACGGGUGAGUAUCACGUGAGUAACCUGCCCCCUGCUCCUGGAUAACUGCUUGAAAGGGCGGCUAAUACGGGGUGUGCCGGCUGGUCCGCAUGGGCCUGGUCGGGAUAGUUUCAUCUUCGGGUGUUUCGGUGGGGGAUGGGCUCGCGGCCUAUCAGCUUGUUGGUGGGGUGAUGGCCCACCAAGGCGGUGACGGGUAGCCGGCCUGAGAGGGUGGGCGGCCACACUGGGACUGAGACACGGCCCAGACUCCUGCGGGAGGCAGCAGUGGGGGGUAUUGCGCAAUGGGCGGAAGCCUGAUGCAGCGACGGCGCGUGAGGGAUGGAGGCCUUCGGGUUGUGAACCUCUUUCUCCGGUGGUGAAGGCCCUGUCCGUUGCGGCGGGGUUGACGGUAGCCGGGUAUGAAGCGCCGGCUAACAACGUG
rnacentral:rRNA from 1 species